AACGCAUAUUGCGCCCAUUAGUAUUCUAGUGGGCAUGCCUGUUCGAGCGUCAUUUACAACCCUCGAGUAAUUUUUUUACUUGGUGUUGGGCGGCCGCAUUCAUACUGCGGCGCCUGAAAAGCAGCGGCAGGAUCUAGUCAUCUCUGAGCGUAGUAGUGUAUUCAAAUCGCUUUGGUUAGGUGUCUAGGUGCUAGUCUACAGCAUAAACUUUUUUGAAGUUGACCUCGGAUCAGGUAGGAAUACCCGCUGAACUUAA
rnacentral:misc_RNA from 1 species